GGCCAUACCUUGCAGGGGAAAUACCAUGUUAUAAGAAUGGUUUUCUGAGGGGGAAGGCUUAUCCAUUGUACUUCAUCCAUUAUGCUGCUGAUCCCUGCGAUUUCCCCAAAUGUGAGGAACUCAUCUGCAUAAAUUGAGUCAAUGGGAGAUUGCACUUGUGAUUAACCCUG
rnacentral:snRNA from 1 species